rnacentral:lncRNA from 1 species
AGAAAUGAAGUUGGAUGAGAUGAAGCAGAGCUUUAUCUCAAGAAAAUUACAUAGCUCCUAUAGGCAAAGACCAUCACAUCUGCCUAGGUAUCCAGCAACAGAAUCAGACCAAGGCAGUGGGAGACUGAGGCCACCUCUCUACCACCAGCAGGUGAUAAGGGAGCACCCCUGCCUGUUCUGUACUGCUUUUCCCUGCCCUCAUUUCCAGAGGUGCUAGGCCUGGAAGUUGGGGGUGGAGGUGGGCGGGUGUGGUGGGUCGGGGGAAGAAGGGAAAGAGCAGACUGCACCCUUGCUACCUGGCACCUAGCUCCCAGACUGUAAUUUCUCUGGGAUUCUCUCAUGCCUAGCCCACGCCUGGCCCAGAGCAGACAUUCAAUACUUAUGUUGAAAAUGAAUGAGUGAAUGAAUAUACAUAAUAAAAGUUAAUACUCAUCCCUCCACCCUCCCCACGCCAGCCCCUUUUUCUCAGUCACUCACAGCUUUUUUGAUUUAGGAGUCUUUUUCAUUAUUUAACUUUUUUUUUUUUUAAUUUUGUAGAGACAGGGUCUUGCUCUUGUUACCCAGGCUGGUCUUGAACUCCUGGGCUCAAAUGAUCCUCCUGCCUUGGCCUCCCAAAGUGCUGGGAUUACAGAUGUGAGCCACUGCAACUGGCCUGGUGUAGGAGUCUUAUUUUUCUGUCAGAGGAGGGCGUUCCCUUGGCUCAGAGCCUUGCUUAGGUAAUGUAGAAGGACCCAGGGUACACAGGGUGGGUGGCUAUUCUCCAGAAAUGUCAG